rnacentral:ncRNA from 1 species
GCUAGUCUAUCUAUAUUAUUUAAGCAACAAGGUAAUAUAGUUAGGCAAGAUUUUCAAAAUGACGGGGAUCCCCUAAAGUAAUUUCAACCAAACUAACCUAGUAAUAGAGUUGGUGGCACAGGUAAUGACUCGUGGUAUGGUAAAAUCGAAAUUAAUAUCUGAAAGUUAAUGGGCAAUCCGCAGCCAAGCACCUAAGCCGCCAAAUUAAUGGCGACAGGUGUGCAGUUCAACGACUAAAUGUAAAUCGGCUUUAAGAUUUAAGGCUUAAGAUAUAGUCUAACCUGGUAUGAAAAUACUGA